rnacentral:rRNA from 1 species
GAUGAACGCUGGCGGCGUGCCUAAUACAUGCGAGUCGAGCGAACGCACCAGAACCUUGCUUCUCUGAUGUUAACGGCGUAAGUGUGAGUAACACGUGGAUAACCUACCUAUAAGACUGGGAUAACUUCGGUAAACCAGAGCUAAUACCGUAUAAUAUUUUAAACCGCAUGGUUCAAAAGUUAAAGACGGUCUUGCUGUCACUUAUAGAUGGAUCCGCGCUUCAUUAGCUAGUUGGUAAGGUAACGGCUUACCAAGGCAACGAUGCGUAGCCGACCUGAGAGGGUGAUCGGCCACACUGGAACUGAGACACGGUCCAGACUCCUACGGGAGGCAGCAGUAGGGAAUCUUCGGCAAUGGGCGAAAGCCUGACGGAGCAACGCCGCGUGAGUGAUGAAGGUCUUCGGAUCGUAAACCUCUGUUAUUAGGGACGAACAGAUGUGUACGUAACUGUGCACAUCUUGACGGUACCUAAACAGAAAGCAACGGCUAACUACGUG